GCUAUUUUAGAUUUUAUUCCUGUGAAAAUAUAUCCAUGGAAUACCUGUUAUUGAAUAUGCUUCCUAUUUUAUGAGAGGUUAUGCAAUCUAACUCAUUUGAUUAUUAAAUUUGAUAACCUACCAUGUUCAGCUAUCAUGUAAAUAUUGUUAUCUCUAUAUUUGUGUUUGUGUAGUUACAUGUGAAAGUAGCUUUGAAAAUGUGACACAUAUUUUUAUUAGUGUAAUUACAUUUUAAUUAAUUUUUAAUACUUCACAUGUUUUGUGUUUUUCCUUUGGAGGAUUGGAUAGCUUUAGUCAAAGCAGCUGCUGCAGCUGCAGCCAAGAACAAAACAGGGAGUAAACCUCGAACCAGCGCUAACAGCAAUAAAGAUAAGGAUAAAGAUGAGAGAAAGUGGUUUAAAGUACCUUCAAAGAAGGAAGAAACUUCAACUUGUAUAGCCACACCAGACGUAGAGAAGAAGGAAGAUCUGCCUACAUCUAGUGAAACAUUUGGACUUCAUGUAGAGAACGUUCCAAAGAUGGUCUUUCCACAGCCAGAGAGCACAUUAUCAAACAAGAGGAAAAAUAAUCAAGGCAACUCAUUUCAGGCAAAGAGAGCUCGACUUAACAAGAUUACUGGUUUGUUGGCAUCCAAAGCUGUUGGGGUGGAUGGUGCUGAAAAAAAGGAAGACUACAAUGAAACAGCUCCAAUGCUGGAGCAGGUAUGAAAUGGUAGCAUUUGAUUUUUUUCAAGGUUCCCACUGGAAUGAUCACGGAGCUCUAGUUUCUACGUAAUUGAAAUUCCCCUUUUGAUCAGAUAUGGGAAUAGGAAGCUAAUUAAUUGAUGAUAUAUUUUUAACUCUGCCUUCUCCAAGGUAUACAGAUAACUACAGACUUCAUUAGUGUUUGAUUUCAUAGACUGGCAUUAAAGCCUUUGUCUCCAAAAUUUGAAGGCCUGGAGACAGGCAUCCCAGGGUAUAAGCUUCCAGCUGGAUCACCUUUAACUAGCUUACAAAAAGACCCUUACACAAAUACUUUCCAUUUGUGAGUUAAAACAGGGUUUUUUGACAUCUAAUAAAGCUUCUUUUGUAAGAAGUUUCUUUUAUAUUGUAACAAUUGGUGUUGUUAGACUGACUAUGUGUUUUAUGAAUUGAUCAAUGAGCCAUACAUUUUUGCUAGGAUGUAUAUUUUAAUAACUACAAAAAAAGAGAGUUUAAAAAACUAUUAAGGGUCUGUCUUUAAACCACCUAAUAGAGGAAUUUAAAAGUGAAGGUUGCAGUUGCUAGAUUUUGCCUUGGCUACCUUCAGAUUCCCACAAUACUUGUACAUAAUGAACUGUGCAUGCUUUUACAUUCUCUAAGGGCUUAACUUCUUAGGCACUGUAAGACUAUAAGAACUCAGUAAUAGCCAUAACUGGAUUUCCUUGGUUCUCCUGUUUUAAAAUCUGAGCCUUAAUGUAGUUUUAAUAUAUCCUUUUUGUAUUACUUUUCUUUAUUAGUAGCCUAAUAAAGAAGACUUUAAAAUGAGUAUCUUUUGCUCUCCUCUAGACGCGUUUUAAAAACUAUUCCAAAUUUAAUUGAUAUUGUAUUGAGUUUUUCAGGGUUAUUUUAGGCCUGAUUUGAUAACAAUGCAUUGUUUUGGUGCCUCCAUUAAUGUUGUAUUAAAUCAAUGGGUCUUUUAAAUUGAUUGUCAUUGAAUCAUACCUUCUGAUUUUCUGUGAUCAUCAAACGGUUAAGUCUUUGCCGUUAUUGUCAAUAUAUCAACCAAAUUUUAAAUAACUUUUUUUACUGUGUAUUACUAUAUUCAACGUCCCAGAUAUAACAAUAUUUUGUAUUUUCACCACUGUUUAUGGUAUUCUCAGAAUGCGAUAAAUCAGGGACUUGGGUAAUAAAAUGUUUCUGGAAAAUUCAUUACAAUGUCAAUCUUUGAUUAUGCACAAUCCUGCUGAGGUGAAUGUGAUUAUGAAAAGUACUUAUUAAAUGUGGAAGUUAGUGUAGAGGGCAGUACCCAUCUUAGAGAGAAGUACAGAAAACCACGUUUUGAAAUUGAAUUUAAAAAAGAAAGAAAGGAAAAUUAUGUAACUCGGCUGUUUCUAUUUUCAUAAUUAGAAACUUUUGAGAGUCCUUGCCAGUUUUGUAACAAAGAGACCAACAAUCAUUAAUGAAAACCUUGUAAAUUAUUUUAGAUUUUCAGGAAUACCAUGCCAUUCCCUCAUUUUCUACUUGUCAUUCAGGUUGAUUUCAAUGUGAAAAUGUUUUGUGAACAAGCACUUAUUUUUAUCCUAUGUGUUAGCCUCGCUUCAUAGUUAAAAAGCCGAGUUAUAAAGCUCUUAAUUACAUCUCAAUUGGUAUCAGCAAUAGACCUAAAGGAGAGGUAUUGAUUGUUACUAACCUCUGUUUCCUAAUGAGUUAAAGUAAUGUCACUCAUGACAUAGAUUGAUAACAGGCCUGUAGUCAAAACUUACUGUGCUAAUGGACUUAUUUAUAUUUUUUAAAAAUUCAAACUCUGUGGUCUUGAACCCCAAUUCUCAGCUUAUUAAUUAUAGAUUAUUUAAUUGUAUUAGGGAUAUGUCAUGUUAUAUUUACUUUUGGAUAAAACUUGCAUUAGAUGCAUAAUAACUCAGUAAGUUUUAAAAACAAUGUUAAUUUUUCCUUGUUUAGAAGUUAAGCACCUUAUCAAGAUAUUAAGUUUUAAAAUCUUGUUUUAUAACUUUGUAACUUGAGAGUAAUGGAUGCUGUAGUGAUGUCUUUCACAUAUGUGAAGAUGAACAAUAAAAUUGUUUAUUUAC
rnacentral:sRNA from 1 species